AUCACCAACAACGGAAAGAAAAACACGACCCACAAUACUACGGGAGGCAGCAGUAGGGAAUAUUCCGCAAAGGAGGAAAGUCUGACGGAGCAACGCCGGCGUGAGUGAAGAAGGUUCUCGGAUCGUAAAACUCUGUUGUUAAAGAAGAACAAGGAUGAGAGUAACUGCUCAUCCCCUGACGGUAUUUAACCAGAAAGCCACGGCUAACUACGUGCCAGCAGCCGCGGUAAUACGUAGGUGGCAAGCGUUGUCCGGAUUUAUUGGGCGUAAAGCGAGCGCAGGCGGUUCUUUAAGUCUGAUGUGAAAGCCCCCGGCUCAACCGGGGAGGGUCAUUGGAAACUGGAGAACUUGAGUGCAGAAGAGGAGAGUGGAAUUCCACGUGUAGCGGUGAAAUGCGUAGAUAUGUGGAGGAACACCAGUGGCGAAGGCGACUCUCUGGUCUGUAACUGACGCUGAGGCUCGAAAGCGUGGGGAGCAAACAGG
rnacentral:rRNA from 1 species